rnacentral:lncRNA from 1 species
UAUUAGUGAGUGAGGGAUGGGUAGAGAGAAGUAAACACGAGAGUUGACCGAACACAUCACCACCGUCGCCAUUUCUGUUAUAUUAUUCUAGUUCACCAAUCGAGUGAUUCUCUUAUUCCGUGCUGCCUGUCUCUCAAUUACAAUUACAAUCUCUGUUAUUCUGGUUGGCUAUUCUAUUAUUCUUUCAUUCAUUACUCGCUGCCGCUGGACUCUGAUUAUCCAAUAUGAGGAUUUAAAAGAGGAAUGCCUUGGAAUAUGUUUUCAG